rnacentral:lncRNA from 10 species
CUAUUCCCCCUCCUCCCCGUUCUAGCCUGGCCUUGUGACUUGUGUUGGCCAAUAAGAUGCAGUGGGAGUAACAUUUGUAACACUGAGUCGAGACCUCAAAAAGUCUUGCAACUUUGACUUUGAGCCUCUUGGAAUGCUCUGUUCUUGUGUAAAGAGGCCCAGGAUAGCCGGAAGGAAGGAAAUUGAGAUACCGGCAGAAAGAAGUCGCAUGGGCAGACAGAAGGAAACUCAUCUCAGCCAUUCCAGCCGCCCCAGCUGAGGCUUCACACUUGGGAGUGAGGCUGUCUAGGACCAACUAGCUAAACUGCCAUCUGAAUGCAACCACAUGAGUGUGCCCAGUCCGUAAGAAGGAGGUCCCCAAGUCCAGAGCACACUCAAGGCAAGAGGAAAUAAGCUGCACCUCCUGGAGAAAGGGAAAUCAAAGAAUUUGUGAUAGUGUGUGAAAACCACUCAGGUAUUCAUGUAUUUUGGGGCAGAUACUUGAAGGCUUUGCAAAUGUCCUGUUUUUCCUUAAAGUUUUAUCUACUGCUUUUAGCAUUAAUCAAUGGAUCUUGCCUGUAGCAAUUAUUAUUGUGAUGAUCUAAUACUGAUUUUCUAUUUUCCUUAUUCCUUAUACAUUUAUAAUUAGAAUUCUUCUGCAUUUAGUUCUUCUCUCUCAUUUAGUUAUUUAUUCAAGACUUUAUUUACAUCAGUAUGGAUUCAUAAAGGUUUAUUUUACUCUUGGAGUUAUAAUCCAAUAUUAUUAUCUAUUACCGUUGCUCAAACUGUUCCAGAUUUGGCCAUUGGGAGCUCUUUCAGGUUGGCUCCUGUGUCCUUUUGAUAUGCCCCUUCCUUCCCUUUU